GAUGAUGCGAUUCGGCCGCGUUUCCAGCCUGUCGCCGCCUUGUGUGAAGUGGCGAGAUAGUAAAGCACCAUGAGGAAAGAACAUACGUGCGCGCGCUUGAUUUGCGGGGAUAUGUGCUUCGCGCAGUCGAUGAAGAGAGGCCCCUCUUCAUCGAAUGGUGGGUUGCUGAUCCCUGCCCCUUCACACAAGGGCAUGCGCGCAGGAGAAGGGUGCGGUGGGGCACAGCUGUGCCCGCACACACGCACACACACACCAACCCACACAUAGGCCAGCCGCGUCUUUAUCUCUCUCCUCGAAGCACAGAUGCCCUUAGCCCCCCUUCUCCCACAAACAUACCUCAGCGCGUGGCAUCACAGGGCCCGGCAACUCCGCCGCGCUCUGCGUGUGGGGAGAAGCCAAGCAGCCUCCACCUAUCCCAUGCCAAUUCCGAGCGAACCGCUGGUGGUGACGGGGCCCAGCACCCACGACGUAGGGGAGUCAGAGCGGUGCAUCGCUACGGAUGUCGGCGGUCGGGUCCUGGACGGCGGUGCGUCGGAGCGUCUGGCGACCGUGAAUACCCUUGCCCCAUCCACAUGAUAGAUAAUGUGUCAGCGUGACUCCAGCGUGUCUCACACACCGAGACCUCGCACUGCCUCCUGGUGUGGGGAGCAUGCGUGCUACCUCGAGGGGGAUGCCUCAGGGGGGGGGCAACCAGCACGGUAGGGAGUGACUGCGAGGCGACGUGCGAGGCGUGAGGUUCGCAGAGUAUGAGGCAGGGGCCGCGCUCUCAGAUGACCGAGUCGGCGCACCGCUGUGCCGCUUGCCUACGGCUGCUUCGCGCCACGCCCUGGGAGCCUUUGACAGGCCGAGGUGUCGAGUGGAGUAUCACCUCUUGUUGUACGGCACAGUAGACGGACACAUGCUGAAGAGUGAACAGAAGACGCCUGUAUGUCUUUCGCUCUCGCUCUCCCUCUCUGUGCAUCGAUGCACUCGAGCCUUAUUUCUUCUCCGUUGUCUCGCACCUUCGUGGCUCUACCCCUUCCCCGAAUUACCAUGCGAGCCUUCCCGAGCUGUUCGUCAUCACCGGACUGGAGAAUGCCGAGUCGCUAGAACAAACGGCACAGCCGUUUUUGCACUUCCGCCCCUCUGUUGAUUCUCUGCCGCCAUCACCGCAACACCUCUGCACCUUUCUACUUCACGAUGCACCGCUUGCCAGGAAUGCGAUGCCGAGUGUGUGCGCGUGUGUCCAGGCGGAGACGGCUGCCUGCACACGCGCGCACUCAGUCUCUGUAAGCCCUUCUACACUCUCCCCGCUGCCUUUCUGUGCUUAUCGCUGUUGUGUGUCCGUGCGCUGGCGUCUUUCGGGCGUCUCCGAUGGGGCCCGCUGAGCGACAAGGGGCGCGGACCAUCUUUUUCCUCUACCGAAG
rnacentral:misc_RNA from 1 species